rnacentral:lncRNA from 1 species
ACCACCUCCCGAGCCUACUUUCCGACCCAGCUGUCUGGCUUACCAACCCUCCUUUUCUCCAAUUUCUUCGACAGGCCACGCACCAUAGGCGCCUCAGACCUACCAGAAAUUCAAAUGUUUGUUCAAAUUCAGAACAGACCGUGUCACAUGCUGUUGCUGUUGAGUUUCCAGGGCUGGAGAUGAAAUUAGCUUGGAACUUACCCAGUUGCAGACACAGUGAGAUUUGGGUAUUUUGACAUACCAAGGAAUCAGACCCCGCUUCUGAGUUUAAUAUUACAAAUGUAGAUUCAUUUACUUCGUUUUGUGAACCACGUGGGAUCAAUAAACACACCAUAAAAGCCGAGGUGGUCGAUCCAAUGUUGGAGUUCCAGGUGGUGGUCAUUGGGACCCAAUUUCAAUUCCUUGGGACUCAUCAUAAGCGGAAGUUCACAGAGU